rfam:Actinokineospora bangkokensis strain 44EHW Scaffold17, whole genome shotgun sequence.
CUUGACCGACCCCAGCCACAGCGGGGCGUCCUCGGCGCGGUCGCGGCCGUAGGUGGCCAGCAGCGCCUGCGCCUC